rnacentral:rRNA from 1 species
UACGGGGGGGAGCAAGCGUUGUUCGGAUUUACUGGGCGUAAAGAGCGCGCAGGCGGUCGUUCAAGUCGCGUGUGAAAGCCCCCGGCUCAACUGGGGAGGGUCACGCGAUACUGAUCGACUGGAAGGCAGGAGAGGGUAGUGGAAUUCCUGGUGUAGCGGUGGAAUGCGCAGAUAUCAGGAGGAACACCAAUGGCGAAGGCAGCUCGCUGGGACGUGACUGACGCUGAGACGCGAAAGCGUGGGGAGCAAACAGG